UAAUAGCGUAUACUUAAGUUGUUGCAGUUAAAAAGCUCGUAGUCGGAUGUCGGGCUUGGGCAGGCUGUCGGCUUUUGUCGGACGGCAGGCUCGGGCCUUUCUGCCUGGGGACCGCGUCACACUUCACUGUGGGGCGUCGGGACGCAGGCCGUUUACUUUGAAAAAAUUAGAGUGUUCAAAGCAGGACUACGCUUGAAUACAUUAGCAUGGAAUAAUGGAAUAGGACUUUGGUGCCAUUCUGUUGGUUUAUGGAACCGAAGUAAUGAUUAAUAGGGACAGUUGGGGCCGUUUAUAUUUCGUUGUCAGAGGUGAAAUUCUUGGAUUUACGAAAGAUAAACUUCUGCGAAAGCAUUCGGCAAGGAUGUUUUCAUUGA
rnacentral:rRNA from 1 species